rnacentral:rRNA from 1 species
UACAGAGGGUGCGAGCGUUGUUCGGAAUUAUUGGGCGUAAAGGGCGCGUAGGCGGCGCGGUAAGUCACCUGUGAAAUCUCCUGGCUCAACUGGGAGCCUGCAGGCGAAACUGCCGUGCUGGAGUGUGGGAGAGGUGCGUGGAAUUCCCGGUGUAGCGGUGAAAUGCGUAGAUAUCGAGAGGAACACCUGCGGCGAAGGCGGGUUGCUGGGCCGACACUGACGCUGAUGCGCGAAAGCCAGGGAGCGAACGGG